UAAUAGGUUUGGUCCUGGCCUUUUUGUAAGUUUGUAGUUAGCUUAUACAUGCAAGAAUCCUCAGGCCGGUGAAGAUGCCCUCCAGCUCAAUAUACUGAUUAAGAGGAGCGGAUAUUAACUACACAUCAGUAACUCAAAAUACCUUGCUUAACCACACCCCCAAGGGACACAGCAGUGAUAAAUAUUAAGCAAUGAACGAAAGUUUGAUUAAGUUAAACUACACCAGAGUUGGUAAAUUUCAUGCCAGUCACCAUAGUCAUAUGAAUAACCCAAAUUAACAAAUCCCGGCGUAAAGUAUGUUUUAAGAUCCUAAUAUAAUAAAGUUAAAUAUUAUCCAAGCUGUAGAAAGCUAUAGCUAUAACAAAUCCCACAACGAAAUUGACUUUAGCAUUCUUGAAUGCACAAAAGCUAGGGACCAAACUGUGAUUAGAUACCCCACUAUGCCUAGCCAUAAACUUAAAUAGUACAACAACAAAACUAUUCGCCAGAGAACUACUAGCAACAGCUAAAAACUCAAAGGACUUGGCGGUGCUUUAUACCCCCUAGAGGAGCCUGUUCUAUAAUCGAUAAACCCCGCUCAACCUCACCACCCUUUGCCAACUCAGCCUGUAUACCGCCAUCUUCAGCAAACCCUAAAAAGGUAAAACAGUAAGCUCAAUAACCCUCGUAAAAACGUUAGGUCAAGGUGUAGCCUAUAGGGUGGAAAGCAAUGGGCUACAUUUUCUUUCCCUAAAGAACAGCACGAAAGCCCUCAUGAAAACUAAGGGCUAAAGGAGGAUUUAGCAGUAAAUUAAGAAUAGAGAGCUUAGUUGAACACGGCAAUGAAGCACGCACACACCGCCCGUCACCCUCCUCAAUUAUUUGAAAACCCCGUACCCUUAAAUAAAUCAAAUACAUCAACAAGUACUAGAGGAGAUAAGUCGUAACAAGGUAAGUAUACUGGAAAGUGUGCUUGGAAAACC
rnacentral:ncRNA from 1 species